UAUGUUCUUUCAGAGUUUCAUUGGAGGGCAGUCUGGUGCCAGCAGCCGCGGUAAUUCCAGCUCCAAUAGCGUAUAUUAAAAUUGUUGCAGUUAAAAAGCUCGUAGUUGAAUUUCUGCUGCAUCGUCGCAUCUCUUGCUGAGUGCUUCGUUUCGGCUUAUUUCGGAUUGAUUUUUUCUUUCCGGAUGAUUACUUUGAGAAAAUUAGAGUGCUCAAAGCAGGCUUUUGCCUUGAAUAGUUUAGCAUGGAAUAAUAAAGUAGGACUUUGGUUCUAUUUUGUUGGUUUUAGGUACCAAAGUAAUGGUUAAUAGGAACAGUUGGGGGCAUUCGUAUUUAACUGUCAGAGGUGAAAUUCUUAGAUUUGUUAAAGACGAACUACUGCGAAAGCAUUUGCCAAGGAUGUUUUCAUUAAUCAAGAACGAAAGUUAGGGGAUCGAAGACGAUCAGAUACCGUCGUAGUCCUA
rnacentral:rRNA from 1 species